rnacentral:lncRNA from 1 species
UUGACGUGGAGGUUAAGGGAAGAAAGAAAAAAGGCACCCUUAGAGAGGUUGUGCGGUAAAAAAAACAACCUUUUAAUCUUAGAGCAUGCCACCUUUUUUUUACUUGGUUUUUGUCACACAAAAAAUCAUCUAUUUUCUUACAUGCCAUGUUAGAUAAAAAUCUAAUUUAAAUCAGAUCUUAUCUAUAUCUAGAAAGAGAGGAGAAGGGGCGGCA